rnacentral:rRNA from 1 species
AUUGAACGCUGGCGGCAUGCCUUACACAUGCAAGUCGAACGGCAGCACGGGAGCAAUCCUGGUGGCGAGUGGCGAACGGGUGAGUAAUAUAUCGGAACGUGCCCAGUCGUGGGGGAUAACGCAGCGAAAGCUGUGCUAAUACCGCAUACGAUCUACGGAUGAAAGCGGGGGAUCGCAAGACCUCGCGCGAUUGGAGCGGCCGAUAUCAGAUUAGCUAGUUGGUGAGGUAAAGGCUCACCAAGGCGACGAUCUGUAGCUGGUCUGAGAGGACGACAAGCCACACUGGAACUGAGACACGGUCCAGACUCCUACGGGAGGCAGCAGUGGGGAAUUUUGGACAAUGGGCGAAAGCCUGAUCCAGCAAUGCCGCGUGCAGGAUGAAGGCCUUCGGGUUGUAAACUGCUUUUGUACGGAACGAAACGGUGAGCUCUAAUACAGUUUGCUAAUGACGGUACCGUAAGAAUAAGCACCGGCUGACUACGUGCCAGCCGCCGCCGUAA